UGGUAACUAGUCCAAUACAAGACAGCUGAUUUCGACUUAGCCAAUCGUGGUUAAUUUCACGGUUAUCGA
rnacentral:tRNA from 1 species